CCUAGUUGUAUCUCUGUUGUCAGUCCACAGUCUCAUUUCAGUAGACUUACUUGGUGGAUGAAAUCUCUGACACUGGAAAUAAGAGAUAGAGGAGGAUGGCCCCCAAAUCACCAUUUCCCAGCCCCUGGGUCUUCUAGUUGGCACUACACUUCCACUAUCUCUAGUCUUUAUAAAAUGAUUGCUAACUACAUUCUAGAUUGUGUAUUGGACUGACAGCACAGCCAUGCUGGAGGAUGUGGGUGAAAGAUGUGCAGUAAAUAUCAUCUUUAGGAUAGGAAUUGAGGCAAAACCCUGGUAGAUUUGUUGAGGUGAUAUGUGGUAAGUAAAUGGAUUAGACAUUUGUCAGGAAUCUCGGACGUGUAAAAAAAAAAGAAAAGGAAUUUCGGACGUGCAAUUAGAGGUCUAAUGAGAAACACAAUAAUUGGACCAAGAUGAUGAUUGGACCAAGUGAUCAUUGGAAAAACAGAAUGCACCCCAAGAUAAUCAGAGGAACAAAAUGGAAAUGGCUGUAUCACAGCCCAAAGAAAAAAGACUUGCUUGAAUUUUUAUAUAUUGUGUGUACAUUUCUAAAAUUUAGUAUUUUAUUGAUUCUAGAAAAAGUACCCUGCUGCUUACUUUCAUUUCACAUUUAAGUAGUUCUCUUCUAGGGCAGAGGUUCUCCUGAGAUGACCUCCUACCUGUGAUCCCCAUUAGAAGCCGUGUUCUGGGACUCUUGUACCCUCUCUUCUAUCAACAUGAACUUGACAUCCAUAUCUGUAUUGCAGUACCUCACCCUCAACUCUGUUGGCUGCACAUAUGGAAGUGCCAUUUGGCCUGAGUAGCACCUGGACUACCAGUAACACCACUGCCAUUGAAAGAAUGAUCUUAGUUCUCUCUAUGAGAAUGAACUUCUCAAGAAAAGUGAAAAGGAAAUCAAUAAGGGAUCAUAUCAGAAUCAGAAAUGUGGUGCUUCUAUCAAUCCUAUAUUGUAAAAUCCAAAGAUUGCUUGCUUACGAUGUGAUUCUCUUGGUUUGUAAGUCUUUAACAAACAUUUAA
rnacentral:lncRNA from 12 species